rnacentral:rRNA from 1 species
AUUGAACGCUGGCGGCAUGCUUUACACAUGCAAGUCGAACGGCAGCGCGGGCUUCGGCCUGGCGGCGAGUGGCGAACGGGUGAGUAAUACAUCGGAACGUGCCCAGUAGUGGGGGAUAGCUCGGCGAAAGCCGGAUUAAUACCGCAUACGACCUGAGGGUGAAAGCGGGGGAUCUUCGGACCUCGCGCUAUUGGAGCGGCCGAUGGCAGAUUAGCUAGUUGGUGGGGUAAAGGCCUACCAAGGCGACGAUCUGUAGCUGGUCUGAGAGGACGACCAGCCACAUUGGAACUGGGCCACGGCCAAGACUCCUACGGGAGGCAGCAGUGGGGAAUUUUGGACAAUGGGCGAAAGCCUGAUCCAGCAAUGCCGCGUGUGUGAUGAAGGCCUUCGGGUUGUAAAGCACUUUUGGCGGGAACGAAAAGGACUGUGCCAAUACCACGGUUCGAUGACGGUACCCGCAGAAUAAGCACCGGCUAACUACGUG